UACGUAGGGUGCAAGCGUUGUCCGGAAUUAUUGGGCGUAAAGGGCUCGUAGGCGGUCCGUCACGUCGGGAGUGAAAUCCUGGGGCUUAACCCCAGAACUGCUUCCGAUACGGGCAGACUAGAGGUAGGUAGGGGAGAAUGGAAUUCCUGGUGUAGCGGUGGAAUGCGCAGAUAUCAGGAGGAACACCAGUGGCGAAGGCGGUUCUCUGGGCCUACCUGACGCUGAGGAGCGAAAGCGUGGGGGGAGCGAACAGG
rnacentral:rRNA from 1 species